rnacentral:rRNA from 1 species
GAUGAACGCUAGCGGCAGGCCUAAUACAUGCAGGUCGGACGGGAUUCAGGAGCUUGCUUCUGAUGAGAGUGGCGCACGGGUGCGUAACACGUAUGUAACCUACCUUUAUCAGGGGGAUAGCCUCUCGAAAGAGAGAUUAAGCCCGCAUAAAAUCACAGCACAGCAUUGUGUAAUGAUCAAAUAUUUAUAGGAUAAAGAUGGGCAUGCGGAACAUUAGCUAGAUGGCGGGGUAACGGCCCACCAUGGCGACGAUGUUUAGGGGAUCUGAGGGGAUGGCCCCCCACACUGUGACGGAGACCCGGACCAGAGAGCUACGGGAGGCAGCAGUAAGGAAUAUUGGUCAAUGGGCGGAAGCCUGAACCAGCCAUGCCGCGUGCAGGAAGACCGCCCUGCGGGUUGUAAACUUCUUUUAUACGGGAAUAAACCCAGAUACGUGUAUCUGGCUGAAUGUACUGUAAGAAUAAGGAUCGGCUAACUCCGUG